UUUUCUUAAGCACGGAACAUUUGGAGCGAUUUUGCUAAAUUUAGACUGCUUUUGUUUACCCUGCCUGCGCGUUGUCGCUGUUUAAUCAUAUCUUUUGUGUAGUUUGUAUUUGUAUUUAGUUGCAAGUAUUACGCUGGAAAUAACAUUAACUUUAAUUAAUUUUUUUUCGAGUUUGUCAAGUUUAGUGUAUAUGAUGUUACUAUAGCAAGUGCAACGCAGUAAAUACUUAAUAUUAAUAGCAAGAAUGUCUGAAUGAAUGAAACGUAUUAUGACAAUAAAGAAACAAAGUGUAACAAAGAAACAACAAAGUACACAGGCAUCUGCAGCUACGGGUGUAUAACGACUAUAGGACUAUAGGAUAGACAUAACGGCUCUAAAUGAAAAUAACAAUAGCAAUAAUGUUAGUGAGGAAGGCAGCCAAAACGGCAAUCGAAGUGACAGCCCUAUUGAAAAAGACGAGGCAUUGUUAUUCUUUUUUUGCUUUUAUCGAAGUUAUAAUGUAACAAAAUUAUAAUGUUGAUGUUUA